CAACAGGGAUUGCCCCAGUAACGGCGAGUGAAGCGGCAACAGCUCAAAUUUGAAAUCUGGCCUCGGCCCGAGUUGUAAUUUGCAGAGGAAGCUUCUGGUGCGGCGCUGUCCGAGUCUCCUGGAACGGAGCGCCAUAGAGGGUGAGAGCCCCGUAUGGACGGAUGCCAAACCUGUGUGAAGCUCCUUCGACGAGUCGAGUAGUUUGGGAAUGCUGCUCUAAAUGGGAGGUAAAUUCCUUCUAAAGCUAAAUAUUGGCCAGAGACCGAUAGCGCACAAGUAGAGUGAUCGAAAGAUGAAAAGCACUUUGAAAAGAGGGUUAAACAGCACGUGAAAUUGUUGAAAGGGAAGCGCUUGUGACCAGACUUGAGCGCGGCGGAUCAUCCAGUGUUCUCACCGGUGCACUCCGCCGCGUCCAGGCCAGCAUCGGUUUCCACGGGGGGACAAAGGUCCCGGGAACGUAGCUCUUUCGAGAGUGUUAUAGCCCGGGGCGCAAUGCCCCCGCGGGGACCGAGGACCGCGCAUCUGCAAGGAUGCUGGCGUAAUGGUCAUCAGCGACCCGUCUUGAAACACGGACCAAGGAGUCAAGGUUUUGCGCGAGUGUUUGGGUGUUAAACCCGCACGCGUAAUGAAAGUGAACGUAGGUGAGAGCUUCGGCGCAUCAUCGACCGAUCCUGAUGUAUUCGGAUGGAUUUGAGUAGGAGCGUUAAGCCUUGGACCCGAAAGAUGGUGAACUAUGCUUGGAUAGGGUGAAGCCAGAGGAAACUCUGGUGGAGGCUCGCAGCGGUUCUGACGUGCAAAUCGAUCGUCAAAUCUGAGCAUGGGGGCGAAAGACUAAUCGA
rnacentral:rRNA from 1 species